AAAGGAUCUUUUGUAGAGAUCCCUUCAUGGUGGAGCUUUUCUUUGCAAUCCUGGAAUCUUCUGAUGUGGCCAGGUCCAUAAUCCAUUGAAGGCUCUGAAUGACUCACAUUGAUUCCCAUGGGCUUGAAUGAGGGAGUCAUCCAAGCCCUCACUGAAGAUACUGAGAGAUGGACUGAUUCCUCAGUGUGUAUAUCUCAAUUUCUGCUUAUGGCAGUGGCUUUCAAAUAUUUUCAACUUCUGGACUUCCGGCAUUCAUCUAGUGAAGCUCUUCUUUGAAAUGUGGUAUUGAUUACUGGGAAUGGAGCUUCACUUAUAAUUUUGGCAGCACUAGUGAGAGAAGGACUGUUGCACUUUUCCAACAGAAAUAUUUGUACUGUAUUAUAUGACGUUCCCUU